GAUGAAGAACGCAGCGAAAUGCGAUAAGUAAUGUGAAUUGCAGAAUUCAGUGAAUCAUCGAAUCUUUGAACGCACAUUGCGCCCGCCAGUAUUCUGGCGGGCAUGCCUGUUCGAGCGUCAUUUCAACCAUCAAGCCCCCGGCUUGUGUUGGGGACCUGCGGCUGCCGCAGGCCCUGAAAACCAGUGGCGGGCUCGCUAGUCACUCCGAGCGUAGUAAUACAUCUCGCUCAGGGCGUGCUGCGGGUUCCGGCCGUUAAAAAGCCUUAUUUACCCAAGGUUGACCUCGGAUCAGGUAGGAAGAACCGCUGAACUUAAGCAUAUCAAUAAGCGGAGGA
rnacentral:misc_RNA from 1 species